GCUCAUCCCAAGCCGGGCUCGAUCACUAAUCACUUCCUUCACGCUCCUGCGGCGGGGUUGGAGGGACACGGAGGACUGAGGUCAAAUUUGCACAGUACCACGGCACCAGCGAUUGCGUGUGAUUCCACGCGGAAAGAAGUUUACAAGGAUUACACAUUAACGCCCAAGACAUGCAGCUGCCACAAGACAGCCAGGAAAAUCCCUGUACUUUAUGAUCUCUUAUGUCUCCCCAUUGCUUGUGGGGGCUGCAGUUGUUCCAGUUACCUCACUACAUAAAGUAGCUUACUGGAUUAGUUUUUGCUAUCUUAAACUUCAAUGGCAGCAAGGAACUAACAGGAACUAACCAGUGCCUUUUGUUCAAUUCAGCCUCUUACAUUAUCUUUCCAUUGUGGAAUACUUGGAAGAAGGUAAUAGUGAUUUUGUCACCUAGGUACCUUCAGUUGUAUUUGUUCAUACGUGCCAGGUGCCUAGCUAAAUUAUGGCCUUAUAUACACAUGAGGAGCUUUGCUGGGCUUACAGGAAAAAAAAAAAAAAAGCAUCAAUUUGUCAUGCAAAUCUUUUCCUGGCAUUAAUUUUGCUACUGAAGGCCAACCGUUCUGGACUGGCACUUGAAGCAGGGUGGAGCAUCAUCUUUUUAAUUAAAUUUGCUGUGGAAAAAAGAAGCAGAACAGUCAUCUUGCCAUGUCCUUUUUUAUGUGGAUGGGAAUUUUAUGGAUUAGUAGUGGACUUCAACUGAAGAGCUGAAAAGGCUAAUGAAUUCUUUCAGAGAACAGCAUGAAGUCUUUCGUUCUUAAACUUUGACUUAAAGGACAGUUAUUAGCCAUAAAUGGCUUUCACAGCUGUUCCUUAGGUUAGGUGGAGCUGGGAAAGCUGGCAAAAUAGCACGAACAAGUUCAAAAAAGGAAUGAGGGUGGAAAAGAAGAGGUUCAUCUUGGAAAUGUUGGUAGAGCUGUAGGAAAACAUUCAAAAAGAGGAAGAAAUCUGCAAUAUCAAUGUGUAGGAGUGAAAGUGGACAGUAAAUUACAUAUGGCCUCACAGAACAGCAUAAUAACAAAACCUUCAGAAUUUAAGCCUCCGUGUGAAGUAUCCCAUCACUGAGGAAAGAACUAAUAGACUUUUUCUUCCGCUUCUUUGGCAUAACUACCCUCUGCAUACUACUUAACUAGGUCAUGCCUGGGAUAUUUUUGGGAAUCUUCCUGUUAGAAAAUUACACUGAAGGGAAUUUAAAGAAGAGCAAUUAAAAUAAUUAAGGAGAUGGAGGGAUUGAUUUAUGAGACAAGAUCAAAAGAGCUGGAAUAUUAAAACAUGUUUCACAAAUGCUGUGGAGUUUGAAUGACAUCACAUUGUUAAGAUUAGCACAAGCUAUAUGGAAAGAGUGUAUUCAGUGUAAGAUUACGUGCAUAUUUUGAAACCAGUAGCAACUGCAAAAAUGGGUGCAACGGGAAAAAAAAGGUUGAGACACUGGUGUUUGCCGAGUUACGGAAAGCUUUGUGCUGAAAAGCAAGGGCAGGGCCCCUACCCUCUACAGGUAGAUUAGACAGAUUAGAUAGAAGACACAGGCUGAUGGGAACAAUCUUGCACUGGAAAAUAGUUGGGACAAAAGCCUUGUAUGGUAUGCAAUAACCUAGAGCACUAGAGGUGUGUUCUAGUCUGCAUCAUCUCUCUUCUCUGUAUGGAACCAUGGUGGGCUGAAAUGCCAAGUGUUUCAAGUCUCAAGGUUUUUUCAAGCAGAGCGGAAUAGUAUUUUUAACCACAGGCUCCCAGUUCACCUUCCCUGGCUGCAGCAACUGCCACAAUCCAAAGUUCACCUCAGAAACUGAAGUUAAAACCAACUUUUUCUCAUAGAUAGCUAAGAAAUCCUUUAACAAAAAGAUUUUUUCCUCAUGUUUAUGGCCUGUUCAUAAAUUCAUUAACUUGAGGUCCUUCUGAGGCCUACCUAGGAUACACUAGGAUUGCUUGAUGUUAGUAGACUUUUUUCCCUGAAUGGCGAAACAAGUUUCUGAAGUGAUGAAACAUUUGAGACAGGAGUUCACAAAGGUUGUGUUAGCACUUGUUUAAGGAAUACCUGUGUAUCUCAUGGCUUUGUCAUUCAUUAAUAAUGUGGUCAUCUCACAAUGCUAAUUAAAACCUUAAAAUCAAAUGUACCUAUUUAAAAUAUAC